CCUACGGGGGGCUGCAGUAAGGAAUAUUGGUCAAUGGACGCAAGUCUGAACCAGCCAUGCCGCGUGGAGGAUGAAGGCCCUCUGGGUUGUAAACUUCUUUUAUUGGGGAAGAAACCGGUGUUUUCUAACGCCGUUGACGGUACCCGAUGAAUAAGCACCGGCUAACUCCGUGCCAGCAGCCGCGGUAAUACGGAGGGUGCAAGCGUUAUCCGGAUUCAAUGGGUUUAAAGGGUGCAGGUAUGGGCAGGUUGAAAUCUCCGGGCUUAACCCGGAAACUGCCGUUGAUACUAUUUGUCUUGAAUAUAGUGGAGGUGAGCGGAAUAUGUCAUGUAGCGGUGAAAUGCUUAGAUAUGACAUAGAACAUCGAUUGCGAAGGCAGCUCGCUACACUAUUAUUGACACUGAGGCACGAAAGCGUGGGGAUCAAACAGGAUUAGAUACCCUAGUAGUC
rnacentral:rRNA from 1 species